GGAGCUAUAGGUUAAACUUGUAUAAACCCUUGGCCUUCAAAGCCGAAAAUGAAUUACUCUAGCUUCG
rnacentral:tRNA from 1 species